CGACUAAGGUUCGACUCGAGCGCCAGCGAGCUAAGGUUCGACUCGAGCGCCAGCGAGAGAACGUUGCCGCAGGCAACGGCCCGAAGGGCGAGGAGAGAUAGCGACGAGUUAUCCUUCCCCCACCACCA
rnacentral:sRNA from 1 species